CUACGGGCGGCAGCAGUGGGGAAUAUUGGACAAUGGGCGAAAGCCUGAUCCAGCCAUGCCGCGUGUGUGAAGAAGGCCUUCGGGUUGUAAAGCACUUUCAGUGGGGAAGAAAGCCUUGGGGCUAAUACCCUCGAGGAAGGACAUCACCCACAGAAGAAGCACCGGCUAACUCCGUGCCAGCAGCCGCGGUAAUACGGAGGGUGCGAGCGUUAAUCGGAAUUACUGGGCGUAAAGCGCGCGUAGGCGGUCUGAUAAGCCGGUUGUGAAAGCCCCGGGCUCAACCUGGGAACGGCAUCCGGAACUGUCAGGCUAGAGUGCAGGAGAGGAAGGUAGAAUUCCCGGUGUAGCGGUGAAAUGCGUAGAGAUCGGGAGGAAUACCAGUGGCGAAGGCGGCCUUCUGGACUGACACUGACGCUGAGGUGCGAAAGCGUGGGUAGCAAACAGGAUUAGAUACCCGUGUAGUC
rnacentral:rRNA from 1 species